AAGAACAGAGCAGAACCUUCUGGAUCCAGCUGUCAAUCUAUGAAGAGUGACGACUCCAAACGUUGACCUCCAGACUUCAGUACAGAACCUGGACCCUCAGACUCAGAGCUGACUGAAGUCCAGAAGAUGGAGGAUUGUGAUCUAAAGGAGGACAGAGCAGAACCUCCAGGAUCCAGCUGUCCAUCUAUGAGGAGUGACUGGUCCAA